GAUGAACGCUAGCGGCAGGCUUAACACAUGCAAGUCGAACGCACCUUCGGGUGAGUGGCGGACGGGUGAGUAACACGUGGGAACGUACCUUUUGGUUCGGAAUAACGCAGGGAAACUUGUGCUAAUACCGAAUGUGCCCUUCGGGGAAAGAUUUAUCGCCAUUAGAGCGGCCCGCGUCUGAUUAGCUAGUUGGUGAGGUA
rnacentral:rRNA from 1 species